CCAAUCGAACCCGGAGAUAGCUGGUUCUCCUCGAAAUAGCUUUAGGGCUAGCCUCGGUGUGAGUCUUGCGGAGGUAGAGCACUGAAUUUCCUAGGGGGCGUCAAAGCCUACCGAAGAAUAUCAAACUCCGAAUGCCGUGUAGAUAUCACCGGGAGUCAGACUGCACGAGAUAAGUUGGGCGGUCAAAAGGGAAAGAGCCCAGACCUACAGUUAAGGUCCCAAAGUGCGCGUUAAGUGGAAAAGGAUGUGGGAUUUCGAAGACAACCAGGAUGUUGGCUCAGAAGCAGCCAUACAUUCAAAGAGUGCGUAAUAGCUCACUGGUCGAGAGGUCCUGCGCCGAAAAUGUCCGGGGCUGAAACGCGCCACCGAAACUAAGGAAUCCGUAAGGAUUGGUAGAGGAGCAUUGCAUAUGGGAAGAAGCAGUACCGUAAGGAGCUGUGGACUAUAUGGAAGAGAGAAUGCCGGAAUGAGUAGCGAGAUAGAGGUGGGAAUCCUCUAGGCCGAAUAUCCAAGGUUUCCAGGGUAAAGCUGAUCUGCCCUGGGUGAGUCGGGACCUAAGGUGAGGGCGAGAGCCGUAGCCGAUGGACAACAGGUUGAUAUUCCUGUACUGCAGUAUAACAGAACUGUGGGGACACGUAAGGAGAGCGGGAGCCGGGGAUGGAUUGUCCCGGUACAAGCGAGGUACCAGUAUGGUAGGAAAAACCGCCAUGCAAUGGGAAGACGUGAUGUGGAGUGAAAUAUAGUAACGAAGCCCGUGAGCCAUGCGUCAAGAAAAGCCGCUAUUGUUUAUAUUGUACCCGUACCGUAAACCGACACAGGUGGAUGAGGAGAGAAUCCUAAGGCCGGCGGAAGAAGUAUUGCCAAGGAACUCGGCAAAAUGGCCCCGUAACUUAGGGAGAAGGGGUGCCUGCGAGAGCAGGCCGCAGAGAAUAGGCUCAAGCAACUGUUUAGCAAAAACACAGGUCUAUGCGAAACCGAAAGGUGAGGUAUAUGGGCUGACGCCUGCCCGGUGCUGGAAGGUUAAGAGGAGAGGUUAGCGCAAGCGAAGCUUUGAAUUUAAGCCCCAGUAAACGGCGGCCGUAACUAUAACGGUCCUAAGGUAGCGAAAUUCCUUGUCGGGUAAGUUCCGACCCGCACGAAAGGCGUAAUGAUUUGAGCGCUGUCUCGACAAUGCAUCCGGUGAAAUUGAAGUACCAGUGAAGAUGCUGGUUACCUGCGCCAGGACGGAAAGACCCCAUGGAGCUUUACUCCAGCUUGAUACUGGGAUUCGGUAUUGCAUGUACAGGAUAGGUGGGAGGCUAGGAAAUGGUAACGCCAGUUGCCAUGGAGCCAAUGUUGGGAUACCACCCUUGCAGUACUGGGUUUCUAACCAGCAGCCGUGAUCCGGCUGGGGGACAAUGUCAGGUGGGGAGUUUGACUGGGGCGGUCGCCUCCGAAAGGGUAUCGGAGGCGCUCAAAGGUUCCCUCAGAAUGGUUGGAAACCAUUCGAAGAGUGCAAAGGCAGAAGGGAGCUUGACUGCGACACCGACGGGUGGAGCAGGUACGAAAGUAGGACUUAGUGAUCCGGUGGUAUAAAGUGGGAUUGCCAUCGCUCAACGGAUAAAAGCUACCCUGGGGAUAACAGGCUUAUCACUCCCAAGAGUUCACAUCGACGGAGUGGUUUGGCACCUCGAUGUCGGCUCAUCGCAUCCUGGGGCUGUAGUAGGUCCCAAGGGUUGGGCUGUUCGCCCAUUAAAGCGGUACGCGAGCUGGGUUCAG
rnacentral:rRNA from 1 species